GCCUUUGUGGUGUAGUGGUCAGCACGCUCGAUAACUGAGAGGUUCGUGGUUCGAUUCCCGGCGAAGGCG
rnacentral:tRNA from 1 species